UACAGAGACUGCAAGCGUUGUUCGGAUUCAUUGGGCGUAAAGGGUGCGUAGGCGGUGAGGUAAGUUGGAUGUGAAAUCUCAGGGCCUAACCCUGAAAGUGCAUCCAAAACUGCCUUGCUUGAGGACUGGAGGGGAGACUGGAAUUCUCGGUGUAGCGGUGAAAUGCGUAGAUAUCUGGAGGAAUACCGGUGGCGAAGGCGGCAUCCUGGACCGAGAUUGACACUAAAGCGCGAAAGCCAGGGGAGCAAACGGG
rnacentral:rRNA from 1 species